GGCCGUUGCGCACUCGGCACUGGGCGGCGCUGGCUGGCUCCCUGGCUGCGGCUCCUCAGUCCGCGGCGGCUGCUGCUGCCUGUGGCCCGGGCGGCUGGGAGAAGCGGAGUGUUGGUGAGUGACGCGGCGGAGGUGUAGUUUGACGCGGUGUGUUACGUGGGGGAGAGAAUAAAACUCCAGCGAGAUCCGGGCCGCGAACGAAAGCAGUGACGGAGGAGCUUGUACCACCGGUGACUAAAUGACCAUGGAAUCUGGAGCAGAGAACCAGCAGAGUGGAGAUGCAGCUGUAACAGAAGCUGAAAACCAACAAAUGACAGUUCAAGCCCAGCCACAGAUUGCCACAUUAGCCCAGGUAUCUAUGCCAGCAGCUCAUGCAACAUCAUCUGCUCCCACCGUAACAUUAGUACAGCUGCCCAAUGGGCAGACAGUUCAAGUCCAUGGAGUUAUUCAGGCGGCCCAGCCAUCAGUUAUUCAGUCUCCACAAGUCCAGACAGUUCAGUCUUCCUGUAAGGACUUAAAAAGACUUUUCUCCGGAACUCAGAUUUCAACUAUUGCAGAAAGUGAAGAUUCACAGGAGUCAGUGGAUAGUGUAACUGAUUCCCAAAAACGAAGAGAAAUUCUUUCAAGGAGGCCUUCCUAUAGGAAAAUUCUGAAUGACUUAUCUUCUGACGCACCAGGAGUGCCAAGGAUUGAAGAAGAGAAGUCUGAGGAGGAGGCUUCAGCGCCCGCCAUCACCACGGUCACGGUGCCAACUCCCAUUUACCAGACGAGCAGUGGGCAGUACAUUGCCAUUACCCAGGGAGGAGCAAUACAACUGGCUAACAAUGGUACCGAUGGGGUACAGGGCCUGCAAACAUUAACUAUGACCAAUGCAGCCGCCACUCAGCCGGGUACUACCAUUCUACAGUAUGCACAGACCACUGAUGGACAGCAGAUCUUAGUGCCCAGCAACCAAGUUGUUGUUCAAGCUGCCUCUGGAGACGUACAAACAUACCAGAUCCGCACAGCACCCACGAGCACCAUUGCCCCUGGCGUGGUUAUGGCAUCCUCCCCAGCGCUUCCUACGCAGCCUGCUGAAGAAGCCGCACGGAAGAGAGAGGUGCGCCUCAUGAAGAAUAGGGAAGCAGCUCGAGAGUGUCGUAGAAAGAAGAAAGAAUAUGUGAAAUGUUUAGAAAACAGAGUGGCAGUACUUGAAAACCAAAACAAGACACUGAUUGAGGAGCUAAAAGCACUUAAGGACCUUUACUGCCACAAAUCAGAUUAGUUUGGGAUUUCAGUUUCACCUGUACGGUGGAAAAAGAACUGACUUGGCCACAAUCAGAAAGACAAAAUAAACAUUUUAUUUUCUAAACAUGUCUUUUUUUCUAUGCGCAAAACUGCCUGAAAGCAACUACAGAAUUUCAUUCAUUUGUGCUUUUGCAUUAAACUGUGAAUGUUCCAACACCUGCCUCCACAUCUCCCCUCAAGAAAUUUCCAGCGCCAGGAAUCAUGAAGAGACAGACUUCUACAUUUCAUCCCCCACCCUCCUCAAGAAGUAAUAAUUGGUUUACUUGUAAAAUAAUGGGGGAAAUGAGGAAAAGGAAAUCUUUUUAAAAAUAUUCCAAGGUUUGUGCUGAGCGCAUUGAUUGCCUUAGGGACAGAAUUAUCCCAGCCCCUUGAGCUGAAGUAAUGUGUGGGCCGCAUGCAUAAAGAUGAACAGAGUUUGUGAAGGAUCAUCAUUCUAAGAAUUGAGUGAUGUAGUAUAUUUGGACAAUACACCAGAUUCUCAAGAAGGCUUUCAAACGACUGUAAAGUUUGAUGUUUAUCCUGCUGAGCUAAUGGGGAAAGUUAUAGCAUAAAAGUUAUUUGUAUACCAGCAUAGAUAAUGUCAUUUUCUAAAACUGGUUUAACAGAAACCAAGCAAAAUCACUUAUCUGUUCACCAACUAGAAUUCUUUCGUAAUGAGUUAAAAUGUCAAAGUGAACAUUUUGAAUGUCAAGCUUUAUAAAUGAAAAUUGCCUAGUGUUAACAAGUUGUCAGCUGAAGUUAAAACAUUUUUCAAAAGUUGGGGCUUUCUACUAAAUAUGAAAGUUGGUGGUCCUCUUAGUCCCUGAUACACCAAGGCAGGCACUUCCAUAUUAGCUGGUUGGGUUUCUAAGUUACAAAGACAGUCCUUUGUACCUUGAGGAUGAUUGCACUGGUUUUGGUCAGUUACUUAAUGGUGAGAUAAAUAUCUUCUGUUGCUAAAUCUGUUUGAGACCCUUGGAGAGACUUGAAGAUUUCAGUUUAUACAGAUAGAAAUUAAGCAUCUUUUGUGCAGACUUUUUUUUUUUUUUCUUAAGAAUUAGGGGAAAGGUGUUUGUUUUAAAGCAUGCAACUUUGAGAGUUUUUAUUAUGAAAAUGACAUAAUAAAAAAAACCUUGCAGCCAAGAACAUAUGUGGCUACGUUAGCAGUAAUGUUUUUUUUCUCUUCCUACUGGCCAAAAGGGAAUGAAAAUCUCAUCAUAGGAAUCUGUACAUAUGCUACUGAUUUGCCUAGAAAAUAGUUUGGUAUCACUUUGCAAACAUAGGGCCAUGUGGCACUUUUAUCUAUAGGACAGAUUAACUAAUGAAAAUGAAGUGGGAGGGGUUUAUUUUUGAUAUUACUCUUAGUUUUCAAACUUUGAUAGUGUUUAACUGAAAAGUGGUUUAGAAAGGGCUAGAUCCAAUGUGUUCACAUUAUUAAAAAAAAUUGAUAUCAGAUGUAAUUUUAAGUUCAUUCUUUUUCAAACUCAAGUACCAUAUUGGCAACCAUAAUACUGUCAUAGGUGCUCUAUUCAUUUAGAUAUUCUUGGGGAGGGGGGGAUGGCAUUUGUAUAAUAUAUGUGUACAUAUAUAUAUAUAUAUACAUACAGUAUAUAAUCUGAAGCUCUGAGAGCUCUUAAGUCAGGAAUGCUAAGUAUUAUAGUAUAUUGAGGUCAGAUGAAAUUUUACAUUUGUGCGUGUUCUAUUGCAUACCUUUUGGGAGUUUCUUGGACUGCGUUACUCCAGCACUCAUGAUUGAUUCUUUUGUCUUCUAAUUUUCUUCCAAGUAUUUUUUUUUUAUUGUUUUCUUUGGCUUGAUACUUUUAAAUAUGUUACUAGUCACUUGAAAACUCCCCUUUACCCCCAAAGUAUUUGGUUUUUAUGCUUUGUCUCUGGCAGCUAUGACAGUGGUGAGAACAUUUUAAAGAUAGCUUCUAAAAGGUACCACUGACAUUUCAAAGAUCAUCCUAGGGGAGGGUUUUGGUGUUUUUAUUUGAGCAGGGAUUUCGUCAGAAAAUUGCAUGGUAGGUCACAGCAGUGCUCGUACCAGAAAGCACAAUGCCAGCCAGGCAGGCUGUCCAGUCAGAAGCCAUCUGGCUGAAGUUUAUCUCUGUCUCUCAGACCGUUCGGGUGACAUGUGGAAUCAUACAAAGGCUUAGGAAGAAACAGCAAGUUUAAAUCAGGAUGCUUUUACUUACUUGAAGUGACUUCAAUCUAGAUUUCUUCUUUUCACUUUUAAUAGGUUCUAAAUUCUAUGAUUAGCUACAGUCAGCGUAAAUUGGUCUUUUUAUUUUGAAGAUCAAAAAAGCUGCUUCGUUUUGCAGGAUUAAAUAAAGCUUAUAUCUUAAAGAUUUUUGAAUUAAAGUGUGUUUUAGAAACAGUGGUUAUGUACCUUUUCAGUUGUUUCAGAAGGCUUUAUUUUAUUGCCUUUGUAGCCCUGAAAACUUGGUGUAUUGUGUCCCAUUGACUUAAUACAAAAGUUGUUUAUUUAUUUGGAUUAUAUUUACAUUAUAUUCUUUGUAAAUGUUUGGUGUAACUUGCACUUUUAAAAAUGACCCAGUUUGGGUAUUAGCAACUUGAGAAAUUCCCUCAUCAAUUGUCAACUGACUUACGUCUUUCUCCUUUCUUAAAAUAACCGGACAUUUUUUAAUGAAAACUUUUCAUUGAUUAAAAUAUUUUAGCACCUAAAGGCUAGCCUUAUAGUUGUAAAAGAAAAAUAUCAGGAAACUAGAUUUGACUAGCCCAGUUAAAUAGAAGAUGGGUCCAAACCCUUAUUUUUUUCCAUUAUGGAUAAAGAUGGGGGGGAAGCAACUCAAGUAAAUAAAUAUUUCCAAUUUUAAAUAGACUCUUAUCCUCACCCCAACGUUAAUAGUGUCUAUAGGAUGCCAGGAUAUCCAUGGAUUUGUCCAGAAUGGUAAAAGAUUUUUCAAGGCAAUUAAUUACUGUCAUAAUGGAGACUGCAUGUAGUCAUUUGACUAAAUUUAUUUCACUUAAAAUUGGCCUUGUUACCAUCAGAGAAAUGCUGCCUAACUUUGACUGAUUUCAGAUGAGGAGGGAGAAAGUGAAGUGUGCUGCCUGUAGGCAAAGAGUUGUGGGACAUUUGCUCACUCCGUUGUACAAAGCACAACUAGAACUUAUGAGUGGCUUACAUACAUCUUGAAUACUUUUAAUGUUGAUAUGUUGACUUUUUUAAGUUGACUGCAUAGUCACUGUAUGUACUAGGAACUGGUUUCCUUGACUUUCUAGAAUCAAUGGCUAGGAAAGGCACUAAUCCCUGAGGGGUUGAACCUGUCAUGAAGCAGAGUCAGUAUGGAAGAAUUUCAAAUAAAUCAAACAGGGUGCUGAAGUUCCAUCUGUCUCAUAUGCUCAUGAUAAGUUCUUGCUGAUUAGUGAAUGUAGCUUAAGCCUUUGUAUGUGUCCUCAGGGGGCAGACAAACUUUAAGAGGGACCAGAUAACGUUUGAAUGGAAGGAUUAUAUUUCAGGUGUUUUAGCUUGAAAUUUAUUUUUUAAAAAAAUAAAAAUAGAAAAAAAAAUAGAACAAAGCCUGUGAAGCAAAAUUGUAUUAUAAAACAGGCAGAGUUGUUUAGCACAGAGAGAAAAUAUUGACCUGUCUGCAUUCUGGUACUGUGGGUGCAGGUCCCAGCUUGGUAAAACACGAUACACUUUUAAUUUUCACCAGCAAGAAAAUGGAAAAUGAACAAUCUUCAGGAAAUGUCUUUAAAGAGGGUCAAACAGUAGGAAAUUCAAAUUCUACCUACUUUAUAUAGGCGUUAUUUAUUACUUGCCUAUGGAAGUAUAGCAUUUCUAAGCUUCUAUCUGAGAAGCAUCUCAGAGAUGUGAAAGUAAAUCUGAGAUAGUUGAAAAAUUGGUAGGGAAGGAAAAAAAUCCUUGCAAAUAUGACCUUAGUGGCCAAGUGAAAUGAUCUAGCAUUGUGUUUGGGAGGUUUUAUUUUCUUACGUUAUUAAAAUUGAAUUGGUAAAUGCUUUAUAGACGUAUUUUUAUCCAGGUGCCACUCCAACUUGUGUAUGAAUAAAAUUAUUUAUAUUAAAAGUGGGAAAUAAUUUGUCAACAUUUUUCUGUGAUUAGAUUGAUUAGGGGUGGUAAGGAGAGUGCUAGUUAGCAGUUUUCCAUGUAAAGUUUUUUCUGACUGAUUUGUCCACAUGUCAGUUGUCAUCCCCACCCCAAAAAGGAAUUAUUUCUAACCUAGAUGUAUCACUUGAAACUUUUUAGAAACAAUAAUCAGGGAAGUUUCUAGAGAGAGAGGUGUUUGCCUUUUUGGUUUUCCCUUGAGGAUUGGGGUAGUGAAUACCUCCCCCCAGAAUUAUCAGCACAAAACAGGGUAUUGAUUUUUAACUCUGAUGUUGCUAUUGGAGUUGAAUAUUAAAUAAAGAACUAUAAUAAGGGAAAUACAUUUCUAAUAAAAUUUCCUACAUUCUAGAAGCAUCCCUGUUUUAAUUUUUUUACCUAAAUCUUUUUGUGCUUUACCUGUAUAAAGAAAAAAAAUGUACUGAGUUAUAAAGCAUUUUAUUAACACUAUGUACAUAUUAGCUGCUUUGUGUUCAGAAUGGUAGCAUUGCUUUGUAUAUUAAAGUGAUCCUUGUGAAUUUGUGAAAUAUUGUCAUAAAGUGCUUUUUCUUACUGUAACCUUUGUGGUAAAAACUGUCAUAAUGCCCUUUUACACACAUUUAUGUGCAGUCACAUAAACAUGCUUUUAAAAACUGUUGUCUCUUUUUUG